rnacentral:tRNA from 1 species
GGACUGUGACUCAGUGGUAGAGUGCUCGCCUAGCACACGUGAGAUGCUGGGUUCGAUCAUCAGCACCA